GAUGAACGCUAGCGGCAGGCCUAACACAUGCAAGUCGAGGGGGAGGUUACUUUCGGGUGACUGAGACCGGCGUACGGGUGCGUAACGCGUAUACAAUCUGCCUUUCACUGGGGGAUAGCCCGAAGAAAUUUGGAUUAAUACCCCAUAGUAUAUAGGGACGGCAUCGUUUUUAUAUUAAAGCUACGGUGGUGAAAGAUGAGUAUGCGUUCUAUUAGCUAGUUGGAGAGGUAACGGCUCCCCAAGGCGAUGAUAGAUAGGGGUUCUGAGAGGGAUGUCCCCCACACUGGUACUGAGAUACGGACCAGACUCCUACGGGAGGCAGCAGUGAGGAAUAUUGGACAAUGGUCGGAAGACUGAUCCAGCCAUGCCGCGUGCAGGAUGACGGCCUUAUGGGUUGUAAACUGCUUUUGUAAGGGAAGAAUAAGGGCUACGCGUAGUUUGAUGACGGUACCUUACGAAUAAGCAUCGGCUAACUCCGUGCCAGCAGCCGCGGUAAUACGGAGGAUGCGAGCGUUAUCCGGAAUCAUUGGGUUUAAAGGGUCUGUAGGCGGGCUGGUAAGUCAGAGGUGAAAGCGCUUAGCUCAACUAAGCAACUGCCUUUGAAACUGUUGGUCUUGAAUGGUUGCGAAGUAGUUGGAAUGUGUAGUGUAGCGGUGAAAUGCUUAGAUAUUACACAGAACACCGAUAGCGAAGGCAUAUUACUAACAAUUAAUUGACGCUGAUGGACGAAAGCGUGGGGAGCGAACAGG
rnacentral:rRNA from 1 species